AGUCUAUGAAGAACGUUCGAAUGAUGACGAGAAUGAAAGAGAAGAAAACUUCUUUAGAUAUCACUCCAGAACAUGGACAUGACAUUCCGAACACAAGAAGUAGACUUCGUACUUCAUAUCCAGACCAUAACA